GAUGAACGCUAGCGGCAGGCCUAAUACAUGCAAGUCGGACGGGAUCCAUUGAUAGCUUGCUAUCAAUGGUGAGAGUGGCGCACGGGUGCGUAACGCGUGAGCAACCUGCCUCCAUCAGGGGGCUAGCCUCUCGAAAGAGAGAUUAACACCGCAUAAUAUCAACAGUUCGCAUGUUCAGUUGAUUAAAUAUUUAUAGGAUGGAGAUGGGCUCGCGUGACAUUAGCUAGUUGGUAGGGUAACGGCUUACCAAGGAGACGAUGUCUAGGGGCUCUGAGAGGAGAAUCCCCCAGACUGGUACUGAGACACGGACCAGAAUCCUACGGGAGGCAGCAGUAAGGUAUAUUGGUCAAUGAGCGGAAGCCUGAACCAGCCAUGCCGCGUGCAGGAUGACUGCCCUAUGGGUUGUAAACUGCUUUUGACGAGGAAUAAACCUAAAUACGCGUAUUUAGCUGAAUGUACUGGAAGAAUAAGGAUCGGCUAACUCCGUG
rnacentral:rRNA from 1 species